AUUGAACGCUGGCGGAAUGCUUUACACAUGCAAGUCGAACGGUAGAGGGGGCAACCCCUCGAGAGUGGCGAACGGGUGCGUAAUAUAUCGGAACGUGCCCAGUCGUGGGGGAUAACGUAGCGAAAGUUACGCUAAUACCGCAUACGAUCUAAGGAUGAAAGCGGGGGAUCGCAAGACCUCGCGCGAUUGGAGCGGCCGAUAUCAGAUUAGGUAGUUGGUGGGGUAAAGGCUAACCAAGCCAACGAUCUGUAGCUGGUCUGAGAGGACGACCCGGCACACAGGAACUGAGACACGGUCCAGACGCGUACGGGAGGCAGCAGGGGGGAAUUUUGGACAAUGGACGCAAGUCUGAUCCAGCCAUUCCGCGUGCAGGAGGAAGGCCCUCGGGUUGUAAACUGCUUUUGUACGGAACGAAAAGGUCUCUCUUAAUACGGGGGACUCAUGACGGUACCGUAAGAAUAAGCACCGGCUAACUACGUGCCAGCCGCCGCAGUAA
rnacentral:rRNA from 1 species